UUUCUGUGAUGAGUCAAAGCACCUCACCAUGGCUGCCGAUGAAAACGUAUGAACACCUGAGAAAC
ensembl:snoRNA SNORD29 Small nucleolar RNA SNORD29